UAAACUCAGGGCUUAGCUAAGCACAGAUAUAGCGUCUCCCUUACACCGAGAAGUCAC
rnacentral:tRNA from 1 species